ACAAGUAACUGUCGUCGAUCACUGUAGCAACGCUCUGAAAAGCAAAACAACGUCCGUAAGACCCGAAAUAUCAGUCUCUCUAAAAAGAUAAAUAACGUCCAUAAGAUCCGAAAUAUCACUUUCUCUAAAAAAAAGAAAAAAUAACUUUCGUAAGACCCGAAAUAUCAUUCUCGCUAAAAAGAACAAUAACGUCCAUGAGACCCGUAAUAUCA
rnacentral:lncRNA from 1 species